rnacentral:lncRNA from 10 species
AACUGGGUAUGGAGAAGGAAAUAGGAGCAAAAGAUGAGGACCUCACCUCACUUCCCAAAUACUGAUCUCCAUGUUUUUCUUUAAGCCUAUAUGUAUAAAGUGAUGAUUUUGAAAGUGGUGAUUGAAAAUACAAGGCACUGUGUGAUCCUCCUCUGGCCUGGGGUGUUGAAUGGAUGCAUACAGCAGAGAAGAAAAUUCACCACAGACCACAUGUAAAGACGGAGUUGCCUAUGGAUACUUCAAUAAUCUCAUCUUGAGGUUCAUUUUUUGCUCUGCACAGUACUCCUGAAGACUCUCUACUCCUUCAGCUCCUGUCUUGCUCUGCAUCAGCUCAGAGCACUGCACCCAUGACAGUUUCAUUGGCCAAAUCAGUUCAAUGGAUGCAACACACAAAAUAUGUAUAACUUAGCUGUCUUCAAAGAUUUUAUAGAAGAGGCUGCUGACAGUGGAAUAAGGAAAUGGAAGAAUGUGUCGAGGAACUUUCUGGAUGAAGAAAACGACAGCCAACUACCCAUCACAGCAGUCUGUUGCUCUGAACUGCCACUGGGGUUUUCAUAAGGACAGGUGAGGAUAUGUGUGUGCGUGUAUCCAUAUUUUCUCAACUAUUUGAGGGCCAUACAAUGGAAUGUGAUCAAUCGGGAUCUCCAGUGAAACAUCCUUCAAUGAUAUAUUUGGUACCCUGGCUUUGGAUUACCAUAACUAAUAUUUACUGAGCCCAUGAGCCAGAUUCUGUGCUUCUCUCUUCACAGAGAUUAGCUCAUUUAAUCCACAGACCCUAAGUAAGACUUACAAUUUCACAGAGCUUCAUUCUACACAUCAGGAAACUGAGGCUUACAGAGGCAAAAUAACAUCUCUGAGCUAGUAAGGGUUGGAAUUAGAUUUUUGUAUCUUAAAAUAUAAGCUCAAUAAAGAGUAUAUAUUUGAUUUCAGUCUAGGCUCUACAAAAGCAUUAAGAGUUAAGAUACAGCCAACAAAUGUUUGACAAUUUUGUAAUCAAAUUGGUAAUCUGUUAUUUUCAAGAUGUUUGAAUUUUUUAAUUACUCAGUGAUCUUGCGCCUAUUAACAUAUUAACACGUUAAUAAAACCAGUGGAUUUCCUAACCCUUCCUGAGCAGAGUACAAGCUCUCUUUUAGAAGUCAUUAGAGAAUAAAAAAGUAGAAUGUCAUCUCUAGUACAGGCCUCUGUAUAAAAGGGCCAAUUGAGCUCCAUACUAAUAGGCCUAGUUUAUUGAAUCCCUCCUUUUUAUAAUAUGCCUAAUGUAAUAAUCUAAGGACAAUUGAAAAUUCAACUUCAUUCUUCAUUAUAGGACUGUCACUUUUCUCACUCUGCUCUAUGAAACCUCUCUGGGCGUAGUACUCCCAUUGAAUUUAAGGAAAGCUUAAUGAUUGGAUCAUUCCAAAGGGUGCAGAAAAUUGUUUAGAUUUUCUUGGAAAUGUCUGCCAUAUUCUCUCACACUCGAACCUGUGCAUAGCACUUGUGCACUAAAAGAGUCCUGCAAGUGGGCCAGGCACGGUGGCUCAUGCCUGUAAUUCCAGGACUUUGGGAGGCU